UCAGGGGCAGAGCUUGCCCUGGGCACCGUUUCCUGCCCCUGCGCCACUGCGCUACUGCACCACUGCGCUCACACACACAGCUUGUAUUGCCAGCAACUCUAUCCUUCCUUGGAAGCUGUUUACAAGCUCCUAGACUCCUCGAAUCACCCUUCUUUCAGAAUGAAAGCCAACCAAAAAACAGAACCGAGAAUAAAGCAAAGCACCGAUUUUAUUUAGCUGAAAGGCAACUCUGAAAUGCCCCUGCCCCAAAAGACAUCAGAUCUGCAGCAAGGGAAACUGGGAAAGAGAACGGGGAUUAGAUAUUGGGGGUGAAGGGGUCCGUUUUUGGAGUGAUUUUUAAAAUGCAAAUAAGUAUAAGCAUUUAAUCUAUAGCUAAGCUAAUUUACUGGGAGUCCCCACUUUAGGAACUAUGAGGGCUUGCAAGGAUUUAAUGCAGACAAACGUUUUUAAAAGGAGGGAGCGGUGAAGGGAUUUGCCCGCUGAGUUUGGAAAGCAGUAGGGAGCAGCUGCUUGUCUUUAGCAAAGAACAACCUUUUAUAAACCAAGUCCAGGUGUGUUUCCCGCAAGCACUGGGAGGAUAUCUGACUAGCAAAGCAGCUACUCUGGAGAAAGGGAGGAAAGCUCAGGCUACAGUUUAAAAAGCAAACUGAUGUUGUGCACGCCCUCUGCCCUGCCCCGGCAGCAGGUCUCUCUCUCUCUGUCCCACGCUUGCUCUCCCAAUGGCCCCCGCCCGCCCUCUUUCAUAGAUGAUCUUUGCCGAUUAUAAUACAUUUGAGCCUUUGGGGGAGAGGGAGGAGGAAAAUGCUAUCCAGGACUGGGACAGAAGGGAGCUGCAAGGCAAAGCAGCAGGGUAGGGCACGUGGCGCGACACACUGACUGAGACAUCAUGAUUCGAGCAGUUUACUACUUGCUGGAGAGUCAGUCAGUGUGUAAUGCAGCUGGGACGAAUGGCCCUUGGGCGGCGGCAGCAGCACAGCAGCACUCAAAGAACAGGCAGCCAGCACGCCAAUUAGAGGUGGUGAGCAGCUACAAGGGACUGAGUCAGGCAGGCAGAAUGCAGACCGGCCGAGGCACUCAGAGCAGCCUGCAGCAGUGCAGUGGGAAGGUUCAGGUUGGAAGGAGAGGAGCAGCGUCGUGAGCGGGGGAAGAAGGAAGCGGAAGUGCCGCUUGCCCAGGGGGCCUUGUCCACCCUCUGCAUGGGGCAUGCCAGCGAAUAGGUGCCCCCGCCCGCUGCAGCCAUAAACCUCUGCGCCUGCGUGAGUGGGGGGUGGGGUGGCUGGGCACAGGUGCUGCCCGGAGCCAGACUCUGGAGAGACGCCGGCGGUGAUGUGAGCAGUGGGCCCACUGGUGCACUGGGUUGAUUUUUGGGGGGUGGGGGAUUGAAAUUUUUUUUUUUUUAAUGUGGUGGUGGUGGCGGCGGCGGCCUGGCAGAGGGGCCAGGCAGGCAUUUCUGUGCCCCAAGUCAACUGGCGCCCAGGGCAUGUGCCCUGCCUGCCCCACCCCUGAUUACACCUCUGCCCUAGCCUGCCCAGUGCCCACCCAGUUAUUUCUUUGCCCAUCAUUCGUGAAUUGAAACACACAUUGUUUGAUUGACUUGUGGCGCAGUGGUGGCUACCCUGGUGGCGCAGUGGUAAAACUGCCCCCCUGUAACCAGAAGGUUACAAGUUCGAUCCUGACCAGGGGCUCAAGGUUGACUCAGCCUUCCAUCCUUCCGAGGUCGGUAAAAUGAGUACCCAGAAUGUUGGGGGGCAAUAUGCUAAAUCAUUGUAAACCACUUAGGUAGCUUCCAGCUAUAGAGUGGUAUAUAAAUGUAAGUGCUAUUGUGUGUAGGUAGGCCCAGCACAAUUCCGUUACUUUUUCAUCUUCUGUGCCUGUGAUAUUGACAACAACAGCAUCAUUGUUGUUCCAGCAAUCCUAAUCUGUGUAAUUAAAUUUUGAUAAAUUUGUAACUAACUUCCAUUCCCAGAACCACAGACAGAGAAUAACUGUAAUCCCUGUUAUUCGUGGCGAGUGCACUGAGCCAGCCUUAAAGAACUCCUCCACAGUCAGUGCACUGUGUGCGCACAGCAGUGCCACAAGCUAAGUGGCAUUAUUUUAUUUCUUGUUCUGUGGCAUCCUGCUUCUGUUGUGUCACACACACCUAACUCCCAGUCCCUCUAGCUAAACUCUGUGUGAUACACAUUACACAGCAACCUCUGAUUUAGCCAGCCACAGAAUUUGUGCCAAACAGCCUUAAGCAAGGAGGCACUCCACUCCAGUCCACAAGUCAUCACAGCAGCCCCUGUUUUUGGCCCUCUGAAUCUACCUGCCCCCUGAGACAACCCAAUCCACUCCACCACCACCCCCUUUUUACAUUCUAAAAAGAAGCCCCAAAACCAUGGCUGGGAGGGCUGGUAGAGCAGCAGAAAGAGGCAGGUUGCAAGGAAGGGGGAGGCUUUUCUUCCCUGCUGGUCGUGGCAGGGGGCGGCCAGAGGGGCUUACUCCCCGAGUCACCCCCGGCCCUGCUUCGGCGUGCAGGCUAGACUUCUCGAGUCAACCUGGCCCUAUGCCAGAGCCUGCAGCAGGGCAGAAUUUAGGGGGGAGGGCCUCCCAAUUUGCCAGGGAAGAAGAUCUUCCUGUGGCUGCUGAGGAGGUGGUGCUGGUGGAGGAGGCUGGCAGUCCAGCCAGAUCCACCUUGCCGCCCUCCCCACCGGUCCCUGUUGGGGGGUGGGGGGCCCAGGGUUGCAUCUGAGGAGGCUCAGGAGGAGGGAAGCCCACUUGUCCCUGGGCCUUCCCAGGCCAGCUCUGAGGUCAGUGGUGGUGGUGGCAUGCCCGAGAAGGAACCAGCAAAGCUGCCACCUCCCAAGCGACCUCGUGUCGCAGGAGAGUCCAGCAGUGUGGACUGAGAUCACUUUGAGCUUCGCCCUGGUGAUCCCACCCAUGCUGAGUGCACCGACUGCAAGGCGCUGGUCAGCAGAGGCAAGGACCCUAAGCACUUCACUACCUUGGGUCUGUUGUUGCACCUGCGCCAGCGGCACCCAGGUGGGGAGACCUCUGCUGGCAGUGGCAGUAGGCACAGUGCCUCGACUAACAGUAGUGGCAGCAAGCGGCCAGUGGCUCCUGCUCCUAGGCAGGAAAAACUGACCGAUCGUCAUCAGUGGAUGCAAUCUCUGGGAAAGCGGUCUGAUCACCCAAAAGCACAUCUCGUGGCUCGGGCCAUUGCUGAGAUGAACGCUUUGGAUAACCAGCCGAUUUCCAUUGUUGAGAAUGUCGGCUUCCACCGUCUGCUCCAGCUACUUUCCCCAGAUUACAAGAUCCCUUCAAGGAGCACCUUCAGCAGGAGGGUGGUCCCCUCCUUGUACCAUGCGUGCAGGGAGGCUGUGUUGGCCCGGUUGCGUGCAGCUGGGCCCAGCACCAGUGUGCAUUUCACUGCGGAUAUCUGGACUAGCCGCAGCGGGCUGCACACUGCCUUCAUGUCCCUGACAGCCCACUGGUGGGGGCAUGGGGGUGAGGGGACAUCUGGCUCUGCUGGCACUGUAUCCAGCUCCUCCCAUGCAUGCACGCCUUCUUGGGCAGUGUUGCAUGUGGAGGCGAUGGAUACAGACCACAGGUCGGGUGAGUUGGCCGCCAUCAUGGACCGCCAGGUGGGGGGUUGGCUGACUGUGGAGUCAAGCCUCUGACGAGGCUUCAUGGUGACAGACAAUGCAGCUAACAUCAGCAAGGCAGCUAGGCAGGUUUACGGUGUGAACAUGGCAUGCGUUGCGCACACCUUGAACCUGGUGGUGCAGGAUGCGCUUGGGCUCAAGGAGGCGGCGAAGUCCAAGCUGUGUGCGAAGGGUGUUAGUUAAGCUAAGGAUCCUGCGGCUCCCGUGGCCGCUCUUGUGGAGCAGUGCCGCAAGAUAGCGGGUGGAGCAUGUGGAGUACAAAGUUAACAAUCAAUGGUGAGACAUUUGGACAGGUUAGCAUUAGAAGAGACAUAUUCCAAGGGGACUCACUAUCCCCUCUGUUGUUUGUAAUUGCCAUGACUCCACUUUCACAAAUACUAAACAAAACAGGCCUCAGAUACCAAACAUCUAAAACAUCAAGUCAAAUCAACCAUCUGCUCUACAUGGAUGAUCUGAAGUUGUAUGGAAAGUCCCAGUCAGAAAUCGAAUCACUGUUAAACACUCUCCAUAUAUUCAGUAGCGAUAUAGCAAUGGAGUUUGGACUAGACAAGUGUGCUGCAUUAAUAAUGAACAGAGGGAAAAUAAGAAAAACAGAAGGAAUAGAGCUGCCCAAUGGAAGCAAGAUCAAGAACCUGGAAGACAAAGAACAUUACAAAUACUUGGGCAUUCUCCAGGCUGAUAACAUUGCACACACUGAAGUUAAAAGAAAAAUUGGAAGUGAAUACAUCAGGAGAGUUAGAAAAAUCCUCAAGUCCAAACUCAAUGGCGGGAACACCAUACAAGCCAUAAACACCUGGGCUAUACCUAUUAUCAGAUACACUGCAGGAAUAAUAGACUGGACCCAGGCAGAGCUGGAGACGCUAGAUCAUAAGACCAGGAAAAUAAUGACCAUCAAUCAUGCUCUGCACCCCCACAGUGAUGUAGAUAGGCUAUACCUCCCUCACAGCUCAGGUGGAAGAGGAAUGCUGCAAGUCCAUCAAACGGUAGAGGAGGAGAAAAGAGGCCUUGAAGAAAAUAUCAAGGACAGUUAAGAAGAUGCACUUCAAAUGGUCAAUAACGCAAAACUAUUCAACACCAAUGAGAGAAAGCAGGCCUACAAGAAAGAACAAGUCAAGAACCGAGCAGAAAAAUGGGAAAAGAAGCCACUGUAUGGUCAAUAUUUGCACAAUAUAAGUGGAAAAUCAGACAUCACCAAGACCUGGCAAUGGCUUCAGAAUGGCAACUUGAAGAAAGAAACAGAGGGUUAAAUACUGGCUGCACAAGAACAGGCACUAAGAACAAAUGCAAUAAGAGCAAAAGUCAAAAAAUCCACAACAAACAGCAAGUGCCGCCUUUGGAAAAAAGCAGAUGAAACAGUGGACCACCUAAUCAGCUGUUGUCAAAAGAUCGCACAGACUUACUACAAACAAAGGCAUGACAAGGUAGCAGGGAUGAUACACUGGAACAUCUGCAAAAAAUACAAGCUACCUGUAGCCAAAAAUUGGUGGGACCAUAAAAUUGAAAAAGUUGAAGAAAAUGAAGAUGUAAAAAUAUUAUGGGACUUCCGACUACAAACAGACAAGCAUCUGCCACACAAUACACCAGACAUAACUGUAGUCGAGAAGAAAGAAAAACAAGUUAAAAUAAUCGACAUAGCAAUACCAGGGGAUAGCAGAAUAGAAGAAAAAGAAAUAGAAAAAAUCACCAAAUACAAAGAUCUACAAAUUGAAAUUGAAAGGCUGUGGCAGAAAAAGACCAAACUAAUCCCAGUGGUAGUUGGCGCCCUGGGUGCAGUUCCCAAAGACCUUGAAGAGCACCUCAACACCAUAGGGGCCACAGAAAUCACCAUCAGCCAGUUACAAAAAGCAACUUUACUGGGAACAGCCUAUAUUCUGCGAUGAUAUCUAUAACAAUAGCAACAACAUUGACCAUAAAAUUCAGCCAUCCCAGGGAAGGACUCGAUGUCUGGAUAAAACAAACCAGUCAAUAACACCUGUUUGACUGUGUAAAUAAAUAAUAAUAAUAGAACUUGAAGUAACCCAGUGGCAGUAGAUUCAGGACAGACUGCUUUGCACAAUGCAUCUUUACGUUGCGCGAUUCCCUUCGAGAUGUCGGGAGUGCCACUGACUUCACUUAAGAAUUACGCCAAUUAAUGGAAGAUAGGUCUGUCGAUAGACAGGUGAACUCUGGGAACCCCCGUGAAUGAAUGCAGGUAUCCCUCUGAGGGCUGGAUGCUGAGGAAAAACAGAAUAAAUAACAGGGAGAGGGGGCGAUGACUUGCCCCAGCUUGUGCCCCAUUUUAUCCUCCAAUGCAAGUCUCUGGAAAAAAGAUACUUUCCUCCUGCUCAGUUGCCUAUGUGCUGUGAGCUUUGGAGUUGCUUCUUGUGAAUGAGUGAGUUUUUUCAGAGAAUUGGAAUGGAAAGUGACAGACUGUACUUGCUGCUUAUAUGUCUGACGUACAACUGUGCUAGUGGUUGGUUGGUGGGUUGGGUAUUUUUCUACCUCCCCUUUAUGAUACUAUUUGGAAAGAAAGUCACUUCUGCUGUAUUAGAUUGACCCGCCUGGAUCUUGUGUUCUUUCUUUCUUUCUUUCUUUCUUUCUUUCUUUCUUUCUUUCUUUCUUUCUUUCUUUCUUUCUUUCUUUCAUGACGCCUAGAACUACUGAUGGAUGGGCUAAAAGCCCAAAUUCCAAAACAGCCAUCCCAAUUCCUAGAGGAAAGGAACAUAGGAAACUGCCAUAUACUGAGUCAGACCAUUGGUCCAUCUAGCUCAGUAUUGUCUACACAGACUGACAGCGGCUUCUCCAAGGUUGCAGGCAGGAAUCUCUCUCAGCUCUAUCUUGGAGAAGCCAGGGAGGGAACUUGAAACCUUCUGCUUUCCCAGAGCGGCUCCAUCCCCUGAGGGGAAUAUCUUAACAGUGCUCACACAUCAAGUCUCCCAUUCAUAUGCAACCAGGACAGACCAUGCUUAGCUGUGAGGACAAGUCAUGCUUGCUACCACAAGACCAGCUGUCCUUGUAGACCAGGUUUAUGUGUCUGAUGUACAACUUUGCUAGUGGUUGGUUGGUGGGUUGGGUAUUUUUCUAUCUCCCCUUAAUGAUACUAGUUGGAAAGAAAGUCACUUCUGCUGUAUUAGAUUGACUGGCCUGGAUCAUGUGACAUUCUUUCUUUCAUGACAGGCUAGAACUACUGAUGGAUGGGCUAACAGUCCAAAUUCCAAAACAGCCAUCCCAGUUCCUAGAGGAAAGGACUCUCUCUCCCUCUCGUUUUAUUGAAUGAAAUGGCUUAACUUCCCGAAAGACUUACCUGGAGUCUGUGAUGAGCCGGAUGAGGGAGAACAAACUGAGGCUGAAUCCAAGGAAGACAGAGCAUCUUUCACCAACUACAAAUGAAAAGAUUCCUAAGUUAAUGCAAACACUACACUGUGCUGCCAAUAGAGUGCAGCCCGUCAAGCUCGUCACUCCCACCCCAAUAUCUCAACUGCCUAAAAUCACAAAAAAUCUUAGUCAUCAGCUCUGAUUCCAAAAAAGGUGAUUUUGGUAUUUGCAGACCCUAAGCCUGCACAGUGACAAAGCGGGGAACAUGAUGCUCCCAACAUAGACUCGAGAGACCGCUCCAUUCCCAACAAGAGAGACACCAGAGAAGUCACACCAAGAUCACCCUCCAAUCCUGAACGUGACUCCAACCCAGCUCAAAUGGAGGAUUAUACCAUCAACCCUAGCUGGUCUUCUCAACACCGACUGAAAAGCAUGCCCUGCACGAUACCAACUAUAUAGAAGAGACCCUACGUGAUACCAACGCUCUCCGGGUCACAGGGAAUCCCCUCACCAUCUGUACUCUCCUAAAUGCUAUUCCAUAGGAUCCGGUGUAUUGCUACUGAGAACGUCGACACUGAGACUACGUUCCAUCUGAUCAUGCCUGAUCGUUCCACUUACAUCUUCGAUGACAGAUCUGUCACUGAUGAUAGAGAACGCUAUCUCCACCCUUGCUCUUGGGCUCCACAUCGAAACCAAUAUCCGGGGAGAUUGCACCAUCCAGACUCUCGGUCCUGAUCAUACUCUCCUCAGCACUGCAGGUCUUGGUCUCAGUCAAGAGAUAAGAGAAGUCAACCACCUAAGCAGCUGGACUUUGACCUCCUACCACCGGAUUCCUCGACUGAAGAAUCCGCCUCAGAGGAAGAUGCAGAAACAGCCCUGGACAUCGCAUGGGGUUCCACACCUUCAGAUCUAAUUGAAGAUCCAAAGCCUCUGCCUCCCUCGGAGUACCUGAAGCUCUUCACUGACCAAGUGGCCUAUAUGGCUACCUCUUUACAUAUCCAGGUUAACGAACCUCCUAAAUCUCCUCCUGAUCCCAUUUUUGGGCCAACUGAUGCUGGAACUUUGCACUCUUUCUUCCUACCACUGAACUCUGCUUGAAUGGACAUUGUCAACGCUUGCUGGGCAUUUUUGCCACCUACCUCUCAGAAGCUGGAAGGUUUUUUUACAAGGUUCAAGCCAGGGACAAUCAGUUCCUUCUGUGCCAUCCUACUCCUCACUCCAUUAUAAUGGACUCUGCUCAGUCCUGUUCAAAGAACAGAAUCCAUUCAGCAGCAUCUGACACAGAAGGCAGAAAAGCAGAUGCCCUUGGGCCUGUCCCCUUUCCAAACAGCUCCUCCAUAUACGUCUCGCCAUGCCACUGACUGUUCAUUCAAUGUUUGCUGCAGCAACUCCUCGCUGGCACACAUGGAUGUGUUCACCUACAUUGGCACCUGGAACAAGAGGAAGAAGAAGAGAGAAUUUGACCUUUUGAUGGCCAGGCCCUUGUUGGAAAGGAGACAAAAUGGAAAGGAGACAAAAACUGAAAAAUAUGGCAAGACCUAUGACCUCCCAACAACCUGCCUACAAUUCCUCAAGGGGCAACAAAUCCUCUUCUUCUUCUGCUGCUGCUGCUAUAUCAUUUUGUCCUUCCAGCUACUCUCAAUCAACUAACCGUUCCUUUCGUCCUUCUAGGACCUCCCUAUUUCAGAAAAGACAGGUCUCCUUCGUAAAAUCACAACCUUCCAAAUCUCAACCACCAGUGCAUAGCAAGUGCUCGGGACUCAAGCAGCUGCAAAUAUUAUUCUUUGAAGCACUCCACACACAAAUCGGGCUUUGUCUCCCAAAUUCUAGCUUAUCUCGAUGUAUUUCUGGGUUUUUUAAAUGCUGCUUUUAAUGAGAUUUUCUGAAAACACCAGAGCAAAUAGGGAGAGGCAUUGACGUAGAAUCAUUCACAUGAGAAGAGGGAUAUAAUCUUUUAGGAAUGCAGAUAGAGGCUUUAGAAAUCUCUCUCCCCACCCCGCCAUUGGCUAGAAGGAAAAUACGGAGGCACGCGAUGUGAACUUGCACCAAAAGAAAACCUGAGAGCAGAGGGGAGGGGCUGCUUCCCUCCUUGUCGCGAGUGUGAUUCGAAGUGUCUUCACUCAACAUUGACCCUGAAGCAUGAAGCCAGGUGCGAAUAACUCCCUGGCCUUCCAGGGUUUUCUAACGGCUUUACAUGUUUUCGUUGUUCAUGGUUUUAGACUGUUUUUAAAAUUGUUUUGUAAGGAUUGUUUUUAAAAGUGCCUAGGUAAUGAGAGCAGCAGUAGCCAUCUUGCUGCCCCUCGGGCAUCCCAAUAAUCUGCCCAUUGAGGGAACUGCCUGACCUUGCCUCAUGGAAGGACCGCCCUUACCUCUCAUCACUGCUCCAUUAAGGGUGUGGAGAACUCACUUUACAUAGGCCUCUGGAUUAAAGGCAGCAAAGUUAGUUGUCCAAUCCAGAUCCCAUACUUUACAAUAGCCUGCUGCAAUGUGUUCAUUUUUGGAAAGGCUGACAUCCUGACCCCCAGUUCAUUCUUGUGCUGAAGAGUGUGUGUGUGCUUCCUUCCUUCCUUUCCUGCUUGCACAUGUCCUGGGCUUCACUGAGUCCAUGAGUCACUCUUAGGGGGCAGAAGUCAGGGACUGGAUUGUGUCCAAGUGCCUUGUUUUAAACUAUUAAGCCAAGCUCACUGCCAUUGCUUGGAAUGCAUUGCAAUAGGAAGCUUGAGAUUCCCACUUUAGCCUUCUGGAGGGGAUGUCUGGCCAGUUUCCCAACUUAGCACCAAAUGAAGGAUGCCCAGAAGCCACAUGUGUGGUCACACAUGGGUGGUGAAGGGGAGCAGGAGAACAUUCGCCAUCCAUGGGUGCUCUUUCUGGGCCUUCCUGACUGAACGCCAUCAGGUAUAGAGAUAGAAUGCAAGUACAUAUAGGAACACAGGAAUAUAGGAAGCUGCCAUAUACUGAGUCAGACCAUUGGUCUAUCUAGCUCAGUAUUGUCUACACAGACUGGCAGCAGCUUCUCAAAAUCUGCAGAGAGGAAUCUCUCUCAGCCCUGUCUCGGAGAUGCUGCCAGGGAGGGAACUUGGAAGCUAGAAGCUCUUUCCAGAGCAGCUCCAUCCCCUAAGGGAAAUAUCUUACAGUGAUCACACAUGUGGUCUCCCAUUCAUAGGCAACUGUGGCAGACCCUGCUUAGCUAAGGGGAAAAGUCAUGCUUGCUAACACAUGUGGUCUCCCAUUCAAAUGCAACCAGGUUGGACCCUGCUUAGCUAGGGGGCCAGGUCAUGCUUGCCACCACAAUACCAGCUCUCUUUGCUAGACCAGCUCUCCUCUCUAUGCAAGAACAUCAUCCUCUAUGCAAGAACAUAGCCUGGGACUCUAGUCCGAUCUAGAAUGGGACCCAUCCAUAUGUGCUUCUAUCCAUUCUGAAAAUAAAGCCAGCCGCUCCAGAACAAAUGGAGGCAGGCCCAUAUUAGAACUGCUUUGAAUCAGAGCUUCAUAUGGUCAUAGAAUCUGCACUCGAGGCUCUGAGGAAGAGAUCUGGUCUUGUGGAAGGGAGCAUGGAUUGUUCUUUUUGCUAUGCAGGGUCCAUGCUGGUUUGCUUUUAGAUGGGUGACUACAUCCAAGAGCCAGCGUGGUGCAGUAGUUAGAGUGCUGGACUAGGACCGGGGAGAUCCGAGUUCAAAUCCCCAUUCAGCCAUAAGACCUGCUGGGUGACUCUGGGCCAGUCACUUCUCUCUCAGCCUAACCUACUUCACAGGGUUGUUGUGAGGAGAAACUCAAGUAUGUAGUACACCGCUCUGGGCUCCUUGGAGGAAGAGCGGAAUAUAAAAUGUAAAAAUAAAUAAAAUACAUGGGAGCACUCUCUGCUGUAAGAUAUUCUCCUUCAGGCCGGAGUGGGCAACCUUGGCUGUCCAGGUGUUGAGGAACUACAACUCCCAUCAUCCCCAGCUAAAAUAAAUUGUGAUUGGAGUUCCUGGUAUGGUUUCUGAAAACGCCCUUUCUUUAUGUCCCUGGGGACAUUUUUCAUUGUGAUUUCUGCUACCACGGCCUGAUUUUGAUCCAGGGCAAAGUAAGCAGCUUCUUCCAAAAUCUGGCAUCAUCUCCUUUACACACAUUUCUCCUAUGAUCAUUGGACUGACUUGAGCAACUCAGAUUCUCAGGGGAGACACGACCUGGAAAGCAAGCCAAUGACCGUAAGGCAAAUUUGCAUGGGGGGUGUCACUCUGUGGCUCCAGAGGAUUGAAGAGCCGACAUGGAAGGUCCCACCCUGUUAUCUGAUGGGUUCAGAAAGCUCGCUCCUCAAGAGAGAGCUUACCAUGGCCCGGGCUCUGUGCUUUGUCGCCAGACCCCGGCCCCCAAGAAGACACGGACAACAAAUGUAGUGGGUAAAAGGGGUCACAGCUUUAUUGAUAAACUAUAAUUAGAUUAGCGGACUGGAUAGGGUUAAGCCCACCUCCCCAAGACAGUGCGGGGCCUAGCAAUGACCGGGUUUGGACUACCGUGUCCUCCCCCGUGCCUUGCUUGGGCGACACACCCUGGCUCAGGAAGUCAGCAGGUGGAAAACCUUCUCCUUUACCUUCAUGGCCAACCCCCAAGGGGGCCUGGAUCCUUCCAGAUCUUCGCACACCCCGGACCACACAGCCCAUGGGUAUGUGAAGUGCCUGAAGCAGGUUUCAUGGCGAAUCUUCCUCCCCGGGCUGCACAAACCACAAGUGAACGAUUGACCAAUCACCCGUUUUGACUGUCCAAGGGUACUCACUGAUGUUCCAUCUCAUCUACUUGCCACCCAUCCCGCACUGUCUCUGCCAAGCCGUGACCUAACUAGCUAACCAUUGAUACUAGUGUAGCAGGACGGAGUAGGCGGGAGAAAACCCCCAACAUGGCCAAUGCGUUGGGAGCCAAAGAUUCCUACUUGGCCCCCAAGGAAUGCAACCAGCCUCUAGACUCGCUCUACUCCUAGGGGAAGGAGGGUGGAGGAAUCACGCUCCAAACUGAUCCUUCGGGGUGGGGAGCUGCCGGAACAGCAACCUUAGCCCCGCCCACCAGACGCUGAGGCCCAAUCUGGAGCCUCUUGGGGCCCAUGCUAGGGAGGUGGGACAAAUCACCCUUCCCCCAGCACGAGGCCAGGGGAAGGGGCAUUCUUGCCCUUCUCAGUUAUUACUCAGGUAAGGGAGUAGAGGACUCUCUUAACAUUGGCUUCCAGGCCAAUCUAUUUCUAUUGUCUAUUUAUGCUUCAAUCAAGGUCCAAAAUAUGUCUUUCUCUACCCAAGAACAUAGUCUGGAACUCUGGGAUGGUUUAGAGACAGGCCCCGUUCAUAUCCGUUUUCAUCCAUCAAGAAGAAAAUGCACCCUCUGUAACAAACAAAAUUAAUCAGUGGAAGAGUGUGGUAUAUCCUCCCAAUGGCCAUUUAUUGCCUUUCAUUUUUCAUUCUUUUUUGAGAUUAGCUAACAUUUAUUACAGUCCACGACCAGAAAACAAAAACAGAAACAAAAAGAAAAAAUAUAUACAAUUACAGGAAAUGAAUGCAACUUAUGGCAACUUACAUUGCAUCAAUUUAUGGUUUUACGUUUACAUUAAAUCAUGGAUCAAGCUUGGUCUCAUGCCAUUGAGGUCAACCUUGACCUCAUGUCAUUGGCUGAGCUCAGGUAUCACCUCCUCCAGUGGAAGAGUUCCAUUUUGACCACAGCCAAUGAGCGUGAGCAGAUUUGCAUGGUGGACCAUUCUUCAGUUCCUUGGGGAUGUAAGAAAGAAGGAAGAUUCCAGACAGAUCUACACUCUUGCCUCACCUUUCACCACCAUGUCCUGGUCCCUGUUUCUUCUCAUGUUUCUCAGUUAUGCCUCAGGUGUCCAUUCCCAGGCAAGUGUGACUCAGCCUGCCUCCCAGUCUGCGUCCCUGGGCCAAACAGCAAAACUCACCUGUAGGAAAAGCAGUGGUGGUCGCUGAGGCAGCUUUUACUGGUAUCAACAGAGAUCUGGACAGGCCCUUCGCUUUGUGCACUGUAGUGGUUGCAGCAGAGGAGAAGGGAUCCCAGCUCGGUUCACUGGUUCUGCCUCUGGAGACAACGGCUACUUAACCACCACCAAUAUCCAGGCUGAAGAUGAGGCCGAUUAUUACUGUGCUAUCUGGUAUAGCACAGUGGUAGAGCAGAAUGGGGAACUGAGAGAAAAACCUUCCCCUGUCUUCCCCUGAGUGGAGAAGAGAAUCAGAGCUUCCCUUGCAGUUUUCCCAGAGGUGCACCGAGGUGAUUUUGGAGCCUGGAACUGAAGGCCUUUGGAGCCCCCCCCCAGCAAGUUAAGCAC